rnacentral:rRNA from 1 species
AGGAGUUUGAUCCUGGCUCAGGAUGAACGCUAGCGGGAGGCCUAACACAUGCAAGUCGAACGGUAACAGAAAUAGCUUGCUAUUUGCUGACGAGUGGCGGACGGGUGCGUAACGCGUAUGCAACUUACCCAUAGCUGGGGAAUAGCCCGGAGAAAUCCGGAUUAAUACCCCAUAAUACCAACAGUUCGCAUGUUCAGUUGGUUAAAACUUCGGUGGCUACGGAUAGGCAUGCGUCCCAUUAGUUUGUUGGUGAGGUAACGGCUCACCAAGACUACGAUGGGUAGGGGGCCUGAGAGGGUGAUCCCCCACACUGGUACUGAGACACGGACCAGACUCCUACGGGAGGCAGCAGUGAGGAAUAUUGGUCAAUGGACGAAAGUCUGAACCAGCCAUCCCGCGUGCAGGAUGACAGCGCUACGCGUUGUAAACUGCUUUUAUUUGGGAAGAAACCCCUUUACGUGUAAAGGGCUGACGGUACCAAACGAAUAAGCACCGGCUAACUCCGUGCCAGCAGCCGCGGUAAUACGGAGGGUGCAAGCGUUAUCCGGAUUUAUUGGGUUUAAAGGGUUCGUAGGUGGGAUGAUAAGUCAGUGGUGAAAGCCUGCGGCUCAACCGUAGAAUUGCCAUAGAUACUGUCGUCCUUGAGUGUAGUUGAAGUAGGCGGAAUGUGACAUGUAGCGGUGAAAUGCAUAGAUAUGU